rnacentral:rRNA from 1 species
AGAGUUCGAUCCUGGCUCAGGAUGAACGCUGGCGGCGUGCUUAACACAUGCAAGUCGAACGAGAAAUGGAGAUGGAAACCUUCGGGCGGAAGCCUUCAUUUCGAGUGGCGGACGGGUGAGUAACGCGUGGGUAACCUGCCUCAUACAGGGGGAUAACAGUUGGAAACGACUGUUAAUACCGCAUAAGACCACAGCACCGCAUGGUGCGGGGGUAAAAACUCCGGUGGUAUGAGAUGGACCCGCGUUCGAUUAGCCAGUUGGCGGGGUAACGGCCCACCAAAGCGACGAUCGAUAGCCGAUCUGAGAGGAUGACCGGCCACAUUGGGACUGAGACACGGCCCAAACUCCUACGGGAGGCAGCAGUGGGGAAUAUUGGACAAUGGGGGAAACCCUGAUCCAGCGACGCCGCGUGAGUGAAGAAGUAUUUCGGUAUGUAAAGCUCUAUCAGCAGGGAAGAAAAUGACGGUACCUGACUAAGAAGCCCCGGCUAACUACGUGCCAGCAGCCGCGGUAAUACGUAGGGGGCAAGCGUUAUCCGGAUUUACUGGGUGUAAAGGGAGCGCAGACGGUUGCGCAAGUCUGAAGUGAAAUCCCGAGGCUUAACCACGGGACUGCUUUGGAAACUGUGCGACUUGAGUAUCGGAGGGGCAGGCGGAAUUCCUAGUGUAGCGGUGAAAUGCGUAGAUAUUAGGAAGAACACCGGUGGCGAAGGCGGCCUGCUGGACGAAAACUGACGUUGAGGCUCGAAGGCGUGGGGAGCAAACAGGAUUAGAUACCCUGGUAGUCCACGCAGUAAACGAUGAAUACUUGGUGUCGGGGAGACAAACUCUUCGGUGCCGCAAGCAAACGAAUUAAGUAUUCCACCU